rnacentral:rRNA from 1 species
GCUCAGGAUGAACGCUGGCGGCGUGCCUAAUACAUGCAAGUCGAGCGAAUGGAUUAAGAGCUUGCUCUUAUGAAGUUAGCGGCGGACGGGUGAGUAACACGUGGGUAACCUGCCCAUAAGACUGGGAUAACUCCGGGAAACCGGGGCUAAUACCGGAUAACAUUUUGAACNGCAUGGUUCGAAAUUGAAAGGCGGCUUCGGCUGUCACUUAUGGAUGGACCCGCGUCGCAUUAGCUAGUUGGUGAGGUAACGGCUCACCAAGGCAACGAUGCGUAGCCGACCUGAGAGGGUGAUCGGCCACACUGGGACUGAGACACGGCCCAGACUCCUACGGGAGGCAGCAGUAGGGAAUCUUCCGCAAUGGACGAAAGUCUGACGGAGCAACGCCGCGUGAGUGAUGAAGGCUUUCGGGUCGUAAAACUCUGUUGUUAGGGAAGAACAAGUGCUAGUUGAAUAAGCUGGCACCUUGACGGUACCUAACCAGAAAGCCACGGCUAACUACGUGCCAGC